AUACGUACCUGGCAGGGGAAAUAUCAUGAUCAAGAAGGUGGUUCGCCCAGGGCGAGGCUCAGCCAUUGCACUAAGGUUGUGCUGACCUUUGCGAAUUCCCCAAAUGUGGGAAUCUCGACUGCAUAAUUUCUGAUAAUCUGUGUUCGCGCUCUC
rnacentral:snRNA from 1 species